rnacentral:rRNA from 1 species
CCUACGGGUGGCAGCAGUGAGGAAUAUUGGUCAAUGGGCGAGAGCCUGAACCAGCCAAGUCGCGUGAGGGAGUACUGCCCUAUGGGUUGUAAACCUCUUUUGUCGGGGAGCAAAAGCCGGACGUGUCCGGCUGUGAGAGUACCCGAAGAAAAAGCAUCGGCUAACUCCGUGCCAGCAGCCGCGGUAAUACGGAGGAUGCGAGCGUUAUCCGGAUUUAUUGGGUUUAAAGGGUGCGCAGGCGGAUUUUUAAGUCAGCGGUAAAAUCGUGGGGCUCAACCCCAUCCAGCCGUUGAAACUGGGGAUCUAGAGUGUGCGAGAGGUAUGCGGAAUGCGUGGUGUAGCGGUGAAAUGCAUAGAUAUAACGCAGAACCCCGAUUGCGAAGGCAGCAUACCGGUGCACAACUGACGCUCAGGCACGAAAGCGUGGGUAUCGAACAGGAUUAGAUACCCGGGUAGUC